rnacentral:rRNA from 1 species
UACGAAGGGGACUAGCGUUGUUCGGAUUUACUGGGCGUAAAGCGCGCGAGGCGGCUCGGAAAGUCGGGCGUGAAAUGCCGGGGCUCAACCCCGGGACUGCGUCCGAUACUUCCGAGCUGGAGGUAGGUAGGGGAGAUCGGAAUUCCUGGUGUAGCGGUGAAAUGCGCAGAUAUCAGGAGGAACACCGGUGGCGAAGGCGGAUCUCUGGGCCUUACCUGACGCUGAGGCGCGAAAGCUAGGGGAGCGAACAGG